UCCCUGCUGGUAGAUUCCCUAAAGAGAUUGCCAAAGAUACCUCUAUAAGUGCCAAAAUGAUUCACCUUGGCAAAAAAAAACACCAAAUAAAUGCAGGUAGAAUUUAAAGGGAUAAUUGUCCUAAUGUUUAAAAACUCAUAGUACAAAAAAGUAUCUGAUCUCAGCUUCAGGUGAAUGCUACAUUUUACUACAUGGCAGUAGUGGAGUGCUUCUCAACUCCAUAUGUGCUUCAGGUGAAUGGUUGGUUUUACUAUACUGGCAGCAGUCAAGU